GAGCAUACGCAGCGCGGGGCUGCUUUUGCUCUUGGGACUCGUGAAAUGACUUAUCCACCAUAUUGUGGCACUGAACAGCAAUGUAGCAUAUAGUAUAAACUGGUCCGGUGCCUCUUCCCCGGGCCUGGACAGUUUAGUUUUAUAUUAUUAUUUCCAUUCCCUUUUUUAACAGCCUAUAGCAGUUUUAUGCUUCUUUGUUCUGCAUUUUACUUGUGAGCACAGUAAAAAAUGACCUUUACAUUGGAAAGCUCGGGGUCAGUUUUUCACAAAUCCACCACCAGCUGAGGUGUCAUCUUUGUGUCAGUGGGGGCAGAUGAAGUAACCCCCACCGCUGCUGGUGCUCU
rnacentral:lncRNA from 1 species